UACUUAGUGGCAGACGGGUGAGUAACAUGUGGGUAUCUACCCUUUGGCCUGGAAUAACACGAGGAAACUUGUGCUAAUACCGGAUAAGUCUUUACGGAGAAAGCUUUAUGCACCAUUGGAUGAGCCCGCACUUGGUUAGUUUGUUGGUAGGGUAAUGGCCUACCAAGACUAUGAUCAAUAGCUGAUUUGAGAGGAUGAUCAGCCACAUUGGGACUGAGACACGGCCCAAACUCCUACGGGAGGCAGCAGUGGGGAAUCUUGCACAAUGGAGGAAACUCUGAUGCAGCGAUGCCGCGUGAGUGAAGAAGGCCUUUGGGUUGUAAAGCUCUUUCGUCGGGGAAGAAAAUGACUGUACCCGAAUAAGAAGGUCCGGCUAACUUCGUGCCAGCAGCCGCGGUAAUACGAAGGGACCUAGCGUAGUUCGGAAUUACUGGGCUUAAAGAGUUCGUAGGUGGUUGAAAAACCCGGCGGUGAAAUCCCAGAGCUUAACUCUGGAACUGCCAUCAAAACUUUUCAGCUAGAGUAUGAUAGAGGAAAGCAGAAUUUCUAGUGUAGAGGUGAAAUUCGUAGAUAUUAGAAAGAAUACCAACUGCGAAGGCAGCUUUCUGGAUCAUUACUGACACUGAGG
rnacentral:rRNA from 1 species